UUCACAACCAUGUUCAAUAUUACUGUGUCUACAUGACUGUUGGAGUGGCUGACCCAGUCUGAUAGUCUUCUAAUGACAGUUCUGCAGGUGUGUGUGUCUGGGAUGGAGUGCUGGCUGAUAUAUGUGCUGCCUCUUCACUAAAGGUGUCAGUCACACCACUACAGCCUCCCAGCUGGCUGGUAAUGGGAACCACAGGGACUGACUGACUGUAGUGCACCAUGUCUGGCUGCUUUAAUAGCAGGUUGUAUCAGUCACACCACUACAGCCUCCCGGCUGGCUGGUAAUGGGAACCACAGGGACUGACUGGUUUAAUAGCAGGUUGUAUCAGUCACACCACUACAGCCUCCCGGCUGGCUGGUAAUGGGAACCACAGGGACUGACUGGUUUAAUAGCAGGUUGUAUCAGUCACACCACUACAGCCUCCCGGCUGGCUGGUAAUGGGAACCACAGGGACUGACUGGUUUAAUAGCAGGUUGUAUCAGUCACACCACUACAGCCUCCCGGCUGGCUGGUAAUGGGAGCCACAGGGACUGACUGGUUUAAUAGCAGGUUGUAUCAGUCACACCACUACAGCCUCCCGGCUGGCUGGUAAUGGGAACCACAGGGACUGACUGGUUUAAUAGCAGGUUGUAUCAGUCACACCACUACAGCCUCCCGGCUGGCUGGUAAUGGGAACCACAGGGACUGACUGGUUUAAUAGCAGGGUGUAUCAGUCACACCACUACAGCCUCCCGGCUGGCUGGUAAUGGGAACCACAGGGACUGACUGGUUACGAGACAGAAG